AACGAACGCUGGCGGCAGGCUUAACACAUGCAAGUCGAACGCCCCGCAAGGGGAGUGGCAGACGGGUGAGUAACGCGUGGGAACAUACCCUUUCCUGCGGAAUAGCUCCGGGAAACUGGAAUUAAUACCGCAUACGCCCUACGGGGGAAAGAUUUAUCGGGGAAGGAUUGGCCCGCGUUGGAUUAGCUAGUUGGUGGGGUAAAGGCCUACCAAGGCGACGAUCCAUAGCUGGUCUGAGAGGAUGAUCAGCCACAUUGGGACUGAGACACGGCCCAAACUCGAGGGGGAGGGAGCUGGGGGAAGAAUCAGAGACGGAGCGCAGGCGAGAUGCAGAGGUGGGGAGUGUGGGAGGAUGGGCGAGAGGUUGUAAAGGCCAUGCAGCGAGAAAGAUGAAGGGCGUAGGGGGGGAAAAAGCCCGGGCUAAUGGCGUUAACGAGGGGGGUCGGAUAAAAAGAGCGGACCAACUUGAAC
rnacentral:rRNA from 1 species